AGGCGACGAUCCGUAGCUGGUCUGAGAGGAUGAUCAGCCACAUCGGGACUGAGACACGGCCCGAACUCCUACGGGAGGCAGCAGUGGGGAAUAUUGGACAAUGGGCGAAAGCCUGAUCCAGCAAUGCCGCGUGUGUGAAGAAGGCCUUCGGGUUGUAAAGCACUUUUGUCCGGAAAGAAAUCUCCUGGGUUAAUACCCUGGGUGGAUGACGGUACCGGAAGAAUAAGCACCGGCUAACUACGUGCCAGCAGCCGCGGUAAUACGUAGGGUGCAAGCGUUGUCCGGAAUUAUUGGGCGUAAAGAGCUCGUAGGCGGUUUGUCGCGUCUGUCGUGAAAGUCCGGGGCUUAACCCCGGAUCUGCGGUGGGUACGGGCAGACUAGAGUGCAGUAGGGGAGACUGGAAUUCCUGGUGUAGCGGUGGAAUGCGCAGAUAUCAGGAGGAACACCGAUGGCGAAGGCAGGUCUCUGGGCUGUAACUGACGCUGAGGAGCGAAAGCAUGGGGAGCGAACAGGAUUAGAUACCCUGGUAGUCCACGCCGUAAAC
rnacentral:rRNA from 1 species